rnacentral:snRNA from 1 species
GUGCCCACUUUGGCAGCACAUAAACUAAAAUUGGAAUGAUACGGAGAUUAGCAUGGACCCUGCACAAGAAUGACACGCAAAUUC